rnacentral:rRNA from 1 species
UACGAAGGGGGCUAGCGUUGCUCGGAAUCACUGUGCGUAAAGCGCUCGUUGGCGGACUCUUAAGUCGGUGGUGAAAUCCUGGAGCUCAACUCCAGAACUGCCUUCGAUACUGAGAGUCUCGAGUCCGAGAGAGGUGAGUGGAACUGCGAGUGUAGAGGUGAAAUUCGUAGAUAUUCGCAAGAACACCAGUGGCGAAGGCGGCUCACUGGCUCGGUACUGACGCUGAGGUGCGAAAGCGUGGGGAGCAAACAGG